rnacentral:rRNA from 1 species
AACCUUUAGCCAAACAAAUAUUAAAGGCGAUGCCUGCCCAGUGAACAAUUAAACGGCCGCGGUACCCUAACCGUGCAAAGGUAGCGUAAUCAUUUGUCUACUAAUUAUAGACCUGUAUGAAAGGCAAAAUGAGGGCCUAACUGUCUCUUAUAAUCAAUCAAUUAAACUGAUCUCCCAGUUAAAAAGCUGGGAUACAAACAUAAGACCAGAAGACCCUGUGAAGCUUAAACUUAACCAUUAAACCAAAUAAUGAUAACUUUCGGUUGGGGCGACCUUGGAAAAAAAAAGAACUUCCAACAUAGUGACCAUAACCCACCCACCCAGGCCUACAAGCCAACAAUGACCCAGCAUAGCUGAUAAAAGAACCAAGUUACUCCAGGGAUAACAGCGCAAUCUUCUUCAAGAGCCCAUAUCAAAAAGAAGGUUUACGACCUCGAUGUUGGAUCAGGACACCCCGAUGGUGCAGCCGCUAUCAAAGGUUCGUUUGUUCAACGACUAAUAGUCCU